rnacentral:rRNA from 1 species
GUGCCAGCAGCCGCGGUAACACGUAGGGGGCGAGCGUUAUCCGGAAUCACUGGGCGUAAAGGGCGUCUAGGCGGCUUGUCAAGUAUGGCGUGAAAGAUCUCGGCUCAACCGAGGGAGCGCGCUGUAAACUGGCAGGCUAGAGACUUGGAGGGGUGCGUGGAAUUCCCGGUGGAGUGGUGGAAUGCGUUGAGAUCGGGAGGAACACCUGAAGCGAAGGCGGCGCACUGGCCAAGUUCUGACGCUGAAGCGCGACAGCGUGGGGAGCGAACGGGAUUAGAAACCCCGGUAGUCC